rnacentral:ncRNA from 2 species
CUCUUAUCCAGAGAGGUGGAGGGACCGGCCCUGUGAAACCUCGGCAACCUGGGGGAGUCCGUCGAGAGACGCACGACCUUAAGGUGCUAAUUCCGUCAGACGGAUGUACUGGAAGAUGAGAG